rnacentral:rRNA from 1 species
GACGAACGCUGGCGGCGUGCCUAAUACAUGCCAGUUGAGCGCUGAAGGUUGGUACUUGUACCAACUGGAUGAGCAGCGAACGGGUGAGUAACGCGUGGGGAAUCUGCCUUUGAGCGGGGGACAACAUUUGGAAACGAAUGCUAAUACCGCAUAAAAACUUUAAACACAAGUUUUAAGUUUGAAAGAUGCAAUUGCAUCACUCAAAGAUGAUCCCGCGUUGUAUUAGCUAGUUGGUGAGGUAAAGGCUCACCAAGGCGAUGAUACAUAGUCGACCUGAGAGGGUGAUCGGCCACAUUGGGACUGAGACACGGCCCAAACUCCUACGGGAGGCAGCAGUAGGGAAUCUUCGGCAAUGGACGAAAGUCUGACCGAGCAACGCCGCGUGAGUGAAGAAGGUUGCCGGAUCGUAAAACUCUGUUGGUAGAGAAGAACGUUGGUGAGAGUGGAAAGCUCAUCAAGUGACGGUAACUACCCAGAAAGGGACGGCUAACUACGUG